CCUACGGGGGGCAGCAGUGGGGAAUAUUGGACAAUGGGGGGAACCCUGAUCCAGCCAUACCGCGUGUGUGAAGAAGGCCCUCGGGUUGUAAAGCACUUUCAGUGAGGAAGAACGCCUGGUGGUUAAUACCCAUCAGGAAAGACAUCACUCACAGAAGAAGCACCGGCUAACUCCGUGCCAGCAGCCGCGGUAAUACGGAGGGUGCGAGCGUUAAUCGGAAUUACUGGGCGUAAAGCGCGCGUAGGUGGCUUGAUAAGCCGGUUGUGAAAGCCCCGGGCUCAACCUGGGAACGGCAUCCGGAACUGUCAAGCUAGAGUGCAGGAGAGGAAGGUAGAAUUCCCGGUGUAGCGGUGAAAUGCGUAGAGAUCGGGAGGAAUACCAGUGGCGAAGGCGGCCUUCUGGACUGACACUGACACUGAGGUGCGAAAGCGUGGGUAGCAAACAGGAUUAGAUACCCGAGUAGUC
rnacentral:rRNA from 1 species